GAGCAAUUAGAGAGGGAGAAAAACAAACAAUUGUUCUCUCUCUCUCUCUUUCUUUCUUCCUCCCGUCAACAAAAUAUCAAGAAGAGAGAGUUGGCUCUCUCUCUCUCUCUCUCUCUCUUCCUUCCUUCUUGACGGAAAGGGGAGAAGGGGGCUCGGCCGUAGGUGGCCCACGGCCGGCGACGCUCCAUGGUCGUCGGUCUGUGGCGUGCCGGUGGUGCCACGCCCGGCGACGGCGGGCCGGCCGGAACGGAAGAGGAGAAGGCCGAACCGGCUCGGCUUCUCCAUCAUUUCGGAGGCUUUCCGGCCUCAUUCCCAAAGAAGCAAGGGCCAAAAACGAAGAAGGAGGAGAAGAAGGUGCUCACCUUGCCUCCGGCGAGGUCCUCCCGACCGGAUUGACGGCAACCGCGUCGAUUCCUCCCGCGAUUCAGAGACUUGAUCGUACGGGAUUGGGGAGUGCGCUAUUAUUCCUUCAGUUUUUAGCAUUUUAGAUUAGUCUGAACAUUUGAAUUAUGUUGGCAAAUGUUAUUUUAAAAUUUUGUAAGACUGCUUUUGAACAAUUUAAAUAAUUAUGUCAUCUUUAAGCA